rnacentral:rRNA from 1 species
UACGUAGGGUGCGAGCGUUAAUCGGAAUUACUGGGCGUAAAGUGUGCGCAGGCGGCAAAGCAAGUCGAGUGUGAAAUCCCCGGGCUCAACCUGGGAACUGCAUGUCGAACUGUCAGGCUAGAGUAUGGUAGAGGGGUGUGGAAUUUCCUGUGUAGCGGUGAAAUGCGUAGAUAUAGGAAGGAACAUCAGUGGCGAAGGCGACACCCUGGACCGAUACUGACACUGAGGCGCGAAAGCGUGGGUAGCGAACAGG